rnacentral:lncRNA from 1 species
CUGUGAACCAACAUAGCACGACGUUGUCUACCUUUAUAUGAUUCAGUCUAAACUAUGUGGAAAGGUUCCUAGUUUAAUUGAUGUGGUCCCCUGAUUGUUGUUGACAACUACAGAUACACAGUCCUAGCUAUGUGGAUGGCAAAAGCAGCCCCAUGUAGGUCAUCUGAGGUGGCGUUCAGGUGGUGAAGAUGGGGAUUGGUUGUGCAGACAAAAGUUGUGCCUGAGUCUCUUCCUGUCCUUUGCUCUCCUCUUGUUGAUUCUGCAAGGAUGUCUCUGGUCUCGAGACAUGCUGUGGCUCAUAUGGUCACCUGUGGCCCUCCAGACUUCUAUCACCCCCAGGCUCAUUCCGAAGACCACAAUGCCAGUGGUUAGAGGGCAUCUGCAUCUGACCCAUAGGAGAGUUCCUUUUAAGUAUGGCAACACUUAUAUGGCAGCUAGGACAAGAGAAACUCAGAGUAUUGAACAAAAUGGAAUGGACUCGUGCAGCCUUGAAGCAGUAUAUUGUGCAGCCAGUGGACUCCAGAUAAUCAAUAACAGUUAGUGAUUGGAAGCCUGCAUUGGCACAGGUAUGGAGGUUCCCUCAGCUCCGCAGAUGCCAGAUGCUUCACCCUCCACUCCACUGAAGAGGACAAGUCCCCAGAAGCAAACGCUCUAGGAGAAGGCAGAGAACCACGAUAUUCCAAGUGCCUCAGUGCCAGACGUUCUUUACGUGUCAUCUCGUGAUCUCCCUGGAAUCCUCUGCCAACCCUGUGAGGAUUAUUAUACUCAUUCUGCAAAUGAGAAAACUGAGGCCCAGAAAGGUGAAAUUAGUUGCCUAAGGACAAAGUAUCCAGUGACAGAACUUAGACACACACAGGUAUGGUUCCAAAGCCCAUGAGUCACCCCGUGUGGCUGCUGCUUUUUCACUCUUUCCUACAUUUGACAUUCUCUGUCUCCUCCUCUGACUCAGAGGAAGCUGCAGGGACCCUGAAAGUUAGUGUCCAGGUUGUGCACCGCACAAAUCCAGGGGCUUUAUCUGAAUCAUGAUGGUGCCC